GUGUAGAGAAGAAAUUGUUGUUUUUGCCUAGUUUAGAUGAUACUGACAUAGUUGGCUGCUCGGUUGCUUUGGCCAGGGUGAUCACAGAAGUAGCUGAUGAUGUAUUUCCUGUAAAGAAUACAUAGUAAAUUCAGUUAUUCAGUCGGGUAUAGUCCCAGAUUCAUGGAGAUCCCAAAUAGUUAUUCCUAUUUUAAAACCCAAUAAACCAGCAUCAGAUGUUUCUUCCUAUCGCCCUAUUGCCCUUUCUUCAGUAUUUGCAAAAAUAGCUGAACACUUAAUUAAGAACAGACUAGAAUUUUUUGUUGAAAAGAACCAAUUACUAUCUCAUAGUCAGUUUGGAUUCCGAAAAGGUAGGUCUACCUAUGAUAGUUUGGCAAUAUUAAUUGCAGAUAUACGCUUGGCUUUUUCUAAAAAUGAGUCAGUAGUAGCCGCUUUUCUGGAUAUAAGUGCUGCUUAUGAUAAUGUUCUGGUUUCUGUGUUACAAGAAAAGCUUCUCAAGUUAGGCAUUCCAGAAAUGUUAAGUAAUUUUGUAAUAAACCUUUUAUCUGAACGGUC